CAGUAGCCGCGGUAACACGUAGGGCGCAAGCGUUGUCCGGAAUUAUUGGGCGUAAAGAGCUCGUAGGCGGUCUGUCGCGUCUGGUGUGAAAUCCCGAGGCUCAACCUCGGGCUUGCAUCGGGUACGGGCAGACUAGAGUGCGGUAGGGGAGACUGGAAUUCCUGGUGUAGCGGUGGAAUGCGCAGAUAUCAGGAGGAACACCGAUGGCGAAGGCAGGUCUCUGGGCCGCAACUGACGCUGAGGAGCGAAAGCAUGGGGAGCGAACAGGAUUAGAUACCCCAGUAGUCCCUGUCUCUUAUAC
rnacentral:rRNA from 1 species